UUGUAUGGCUGAAUCACCAUCGGUUUUGAACAAUGGUCAAAGGGAAUUAGACGCAAGUCCCUUUGAGCCGUCAGUAGCUUUAACAGGUAACAUAUAUUGAUGAAGAUCACUUAUAUUUUGUAGAAAUACCUACUUGAACCAAGAUAACUUGGGCGUUUGAUGUAUAUUUUUAGCUUCUGAGAGAUUGAUCUUAAAAGAAAUAAAAAAGUUGAAUUGGGAAAUACAGGAUAUGAAAAAAACAGUAAACAAGAUUCAGGACCUGUUGCUCACAAUUAGCAUGAUUAAUAUUAAGUUCUAGUGAAGAACCUUUUCAACUACCAAUUGAGAACCAGGCUUUACUAGAAUCUAUAGAGCAGCAUUUAGAAGAUGAAAAAAAUAUUGAACUUUUGGCUCAACGAUUAUACCUUUGUGGAGGGGACAAUACCCUCAAAUCUGUUUUUUUAUUAAUGAAAAAACUGUUUGCCAGAGAUGUAGCAAUGCUCUAUUCUGGAUCAGGAAAGAAGGAAAAAUUAUCAUUUCAGAAGUUGUCAUGUAAGGCUAUUAUAAAAGCUGUUCGUUUUCCAGGCGCCACGGAUGCAGGUAUUAACAAAUCCAUAUCUUUGUAUUUGACAGGAGCAGCAGACAGGGAAGGAAGACGUAAAAACAGAAAUGCCCAAUAUAUACAGUUAUUUUGAAACAGAAAAAUAUUUUUCGUUUUUUUAUUUAUUAUCAGGAUAACAGCUUAUUUUUCAUUAUUUUAUUUUAUAUAGCAAUAUAUUGUUUUUAUUGAUGUAACGUUUUAUUGAAUCUUUCCCUAAUAUUUACUUCCCGAAUCUAUACAACAUAUUGGUUACAAAGAAGUGCAGAUUUUUUUUUAUAUUUCUUUUAUUUUUAAAACAUAUUAUAUAAUAUAUAUCAUUCUCAUUCGAAAAUAAUGUUCCACUGUAUAUAUAAAACAUACAACAACUUGCAUAAAAUGCCUUGACUUUUCGAACUAUCUUGAUAUUUUGAUAUCAAGUGACAAUAAAAAGUUUCCAGGGAGUUUCCUAUUCCGAAUCUUGAUUAUGUGGUAUGUACAUAGAUUCAAUGUACAGACUAAAUAUUGGUCCAAGAUUUGCGAAACAAAAUGGAAAAAUAUAUGUAAAUUAUGUUGGACCAUUAUUGAAAAAACACAUUAUGUCUAUAAAUAUAGCAAAUAUAGGAUAAAUAUUAAAUAUCCAUAUUGGAUCAAUAUCGAUUUUUAACAAAGG
rnacentral:lncRNA from 1 species